CCCACCAGGCCCAAGCUCCUCCGCCCCACGGCCGCCGCCUCGCCUUCUGUUGCGCGUUGUUUGUCCAUUUCGAUCCCGUGCUAUGCAGAUUGACGGCUCCGUCAGCGAGGUCACUAACUUCGUCAGGCCCCCACCGGGGAUGCGAGCGGUAACAUUGGAAGGUGCGCGCAGGCCCCUGUGAUGGCCGAACCGAGGCUGGUUCGUCGCCGUCUCCGCCAACGAGCUCCCAUGGGCCGAGCCUGUGUAGCCGUGCCUAAGACGGACGGCCGCUGCGGGCGCCGCGCGUGCCUACGCGGCGAAGGCCUCGACUAAAUCGGGCAAGCAACCCGUCCCUCCCCUUCUGGAACCGCACCAGCGGGUUGCUUCUUCCCCCUGCCUCCCUCUCUCCCAAUGUGGAGGUUCUCCAGCUCCGGCGAUAGUAAGAAGGUGGACGGCGCGGCGUGCAUCCGCGUGCUGACAUGCCUUGGCUUGCGGAAGCGGCAUAAGGCAAUCACUCUCGCCCGCCUUUCCCCCUGUGCCGAUGGAGAAGAGGGAGCAGCAGCACGGAAGGAGAGCAACGGGAAAGGAGAGGCGUAUGCGGGGCAUGGCAGAAGACCUGGAGGCGCCCUCGCCGGUGUGGAUUAUCUCGCGUUGGUGGCGGCCGAGGAGAUGGGGAUGGAGGAAGACAUCUCUGGUCAUCACCGGAUCGGAUCACCCACCACCAUCAAAUCGGAGAGCAAGGCGAGGACGCUCGGGAUCCGCGCCGGCGCCUGAGGCGACGAGGAGCUCUGUGGUGAGGGCACCGACGACCACCGGGUCAACCUUAUGGGACAGCUAUGCGACGCCGCCUAUCAGUUCCGCGACUCCCAGCCAGGUUUUUCCCUGCCCGAACCUCUAACUCUCCCCUAACUUCCUACAGGUUAGAUCUCUCAUGUUUCCCGUCGGCCACCACUUCCACUUCUCCGAGCUCGCUGGAGGGCGCGGUUAUAUGGCGAGGUGUCCGCGCUCGGCCCGGCAGCAGUCAACACGGUGAGGUCAGAAUAGGGGGCUUCCUCUAUAGUGAUUUUCGAGGCAAACGCCUCGCUCUCACCUUGCAGCCAUGGAAAUGGCGAUGACUAGAUGAAGCAAGCUGUCAUGUCCUGCUUCCUCCCUCUUGGCGAGAUUCAGGUGAGCUGUCUCUUCCAUAUGCCUCCGUUUCCCCUGAAGAUGCAAAUCAAAACAAAAAAAUACAGGCACCAACAACGAUGGGCCAACUGCGAUGCACAAAAAAUAAACCCAGACUGCUCCUUGCUACUGGAGUACCUAGCCUAAGGUGCAGCUCAAGGUUUCCUCACACUUAGACUUCAUAUCCUGUGUUCAUCUACUACCUAUGUGUACUUCAGGCCUUCUCACUUAAAUCUGAGUCAACAAAUUUUCUGCAGUUAAACAUGCAGUUUGGUGCAACGGAUUGUAAGAGGCUCAUCAAACUCCUUUUACGGAGUGUUUUGAACUACAUUGUUUUUGCAAUUUUAUUCCAAGGUCAAAAAAAAUUCUUAUUUUAGAUUAGAUUUGUCUUAUUUCGACAUUUUUUCAGGUAGUAUCUGAAAGGGUUUCCCACUAUCUAUAUGUUUUGCAUCCGCGAAGGUAGUUAAUCUGUAAUCAUUGAACCUUUUUUCACCCAAAGCCCUUAUAAUGAUGCUCUUGAAUUUAAACGCAGCAAUUAUUUCCAGAUUUAGUGGAAGUGUAUUUUUGAAUGAUCCUCACAACUGAUGUUAUCAAGCAGUAGCAGACUUAGUAUCUUACUUUUUUUUGUUUUAGAAAUAGGAAACGCAGUCUCAGUAACUUUGGUUUUGUUCAGCAAAAUAGCUGAAGAUCAAUCUGUGCCUAUUUUGUAGCAUAUUGAAGUGAGUUAUUUUCAUGUUUAGAUAAGCUUUUCCCAAAAUGUAAGGUUCUGGAGAGGUGCUACGUUAUCUCAUGGCCUACUUUUCUUGCGGUGUUCAGUGUGCUCCUCAUCUGUAGAAAUUUGCUUACUGUCGAUUGGCUACUUUAUAGAAAAACCAUAAAGUGCUUGCCCUGCUUCCGUCAAAAUUUGCUUCCCGUCCUUAAUUAAGUUUUGCAGCAAUCACAGAGUGCUUAUUAUUGCCGUACUUGCCUUUCUUCUGAACAGAAUCUGUAGGCAACAGAAAUGUCAUGUCUUUUCUUUUUACUCAGAAUGGUGCAUCCAGGAGAAAGUAUUUGUUACUCAAAAUUUGUUGGCAUUAUAUCCUCAACUGCAGGAAAUAAUGCGACCUCUCUAUGGCAUUCACGUUGGUCAUUUUUCUGAAUUGUAUUUGCAUCUCCAGAAAAUAAUUGGCUAUGCUAUUUCAUACAAGUUAGAAAAUGCUGAUUUGUCACAACAUUCGGUAGAAAUAAGUUGUGUCUGAUCCUAACAUGCAAUUUACUCUAUCUGUUCCUAUGUAAUCUGCUGGCACUACUGUUUCUAACUCUAUUUGUUCCUAUUUAAUUUGCCUGGCACUAAUGUUUCUAACUCGAUCGAAAAGAUUUUUUCCAGGCUGUAGACCAACUCCUUUCUCACAAAUGCGAGUAAUUGCUGGGGUAAAAAUUAUCCUUCGUCCUUCAGAUAGAAAUACUAUUUAUUCAUCGAUUCCUAAUAUUAUCGUACUAACUGGCCUUAGAAGCUGAGAACGUCGACGUGUACUGUAGCUUGAGAAGAUGCAUCUCUUGCCAGGGUUGUGCAUUGCUAGAGCAAGGAGUUGCUCGGUGAUUUUCCUAAUUUCUACGUUCUCACUACCUUUUGUCUGGUUUUCUCCUCUGGUCCAUAUAAUCUCAUGGCUGUUGGGAAUUCUGGACAUCGUUGUGUGGUACUCCUUCCUUUUUUUCAUGGUUCCUCACAGCUCCGCUCAAAGACGUAAUUCAAUAGUUUGGAGCUUGAGAGACCACCAACAAUUCUGGGGAAAACACACUGAACACAUCUAUUGUAUGCACAUUGAGAGAUCAACCUGUCGUCUUCUGGACACCAGGUUUCCGUAGCUGUUGUUUUCAUAGGGGUUUGUACCUUUGUAUUCCUCUUCGUGGGUUAACUUUGUGUAGAAGUAUAAGUGCAACCUAUGACGCUGGACAGUCCUGUUGCCACAGUUCAGUUUCAUGUGCACAUUUUUUUCGAUAAUGAUUUCAGGUGCACAUGAAUGAAACUCUUGCAAAGAUCAUGGUGCCACUUCAUUUUUUCAUAUUUAAAGUUUUAGUCCUCU